rnacentral:rRNA from 1 species
AGAGCGAACGCUGGCGGCAGGCCUAACACAUGCAAGUCGAGCGCCCCGCAAGGGGAGCGGCAGACGGGAGAGUAACACGUGGGAACGUACCCUUUGGUUCGGAACAACCCAGGGAAACUUGGGCUAAUACCGAAUAAGCCCUUACGGGGAAAGAUUUAUCGCCAAAAGGAUCGGCCCGCGUCUGAUUAGCUAGUUGGUGAGGUAACGGCUCACCAAGGCGACGAUCAGUAGCUGGUCUGAGAGGAUGAUCAGCCUCACUGGGACUGAGACACGGCCCAGACUCCUACGGGAGGCAGCAGUGGGGAAUAUUGGACAAUGGGCGCAAGCCUGAUCCAGCCAUGCCGCGUGGGUGAUGAAGGCCCUAGGGUUGUAAAGCCCUUUCGGGCGGGAAGAUAAUGACGGUACCCGCAGAAGAACGCCCGGCUAACUUCGCGCCAGCAGCCGC